rnacentral:rRNA from 1 species
AUGAACGCUGGCGGCGUGCCUAAUACAUGCAAGUCGAGCGAACAGACGAGGAGCUUGCUCCUCUGACGUUAGCGGCGGACGGGUGAGUAACACGUGGAUAACCUACCUAUAAGACUGGGAUAACUUCGGGAAACCGGAGCUAAUACCGGAUAAUAUAUUGAACCGCAUGGUUCAGUAGUGAAAGACGGUUUUGCUGUCACUUAUAGAUGGAUCCGCGCCGCAUUAGCUAGUUGGUAAGGUAACGGCUUACCAAGGCAACGAUGCGUAGCCGACCUGAGAGGGUGAUCGGCCACACUGGAACUGAGACACGGUCCAGACUCCUACGGGAGGCAGCAGUAGGGAAUCUUCCGCAAUGGGCGAAAGCCUGACGGAGCAACGCCGCGUGAGUGAUGAAGGUCUUCGGAUCGUAAAACUCUGUUAUUAGGGAAGAACAAAUGUGUAAGUAACUAUGCACGUCUUGACGGUACCUAAUCAGAAAGCCACGGCUAACUACGUG